rnacentral:rRNA from 1 species
UGCAGUCGAGCGGUAGAGAGAAGCUUGCUUCUCUUGAGAGCGGCGGACGGGUGAGUAAUGCCUAGGAAUCUGCCUGGUAGUGGGGGAUAACGCUCGGAAACGGACGCUAAUACCGCAUACGUCCUACGGGAGAAAGCAGGGGACCUUCGGGCCUUGCGCUAUCAGAUGAGCCUAGGUCGGAUUAGCUAGUUGGUGAGGUAAUGGCUCACCAAGGCGACGAUCCGUAACUGGUCUGAGAGGAUGAUCAGUCACACUGGAACUGAGACACGGUCCAGACUCCUACGGGAGGCAGCAGUGGGGAAUAUUGGACAAUGGGCGAAAGCCUGAUCCAGCCAUGCCGCGUGUGUGAAGAAGGUCUUCGGAUUGUAAAGCACUUUAAGUUGGGAGGAAGGGCAUUAACCUAAUACGUUGGUGUCUUGACGUUACCGACAGAAUAAGCACCGGCUAACUCUGUGCCAGCAGCCGCGGUAAUACAGAGGGUGCAAGCGUUAAUCGGAAUUACUGGGCGUAAAGCGCGCGUAGGUGGUUCGUUAAGU